rnacentral:rRNA from 1 species
GACGAACGCUGGCGGCGCGCCUAACACAUGCAAGUCGAGCGAGAACCAGGGCUUGCCCUGGGGGACAGCGGCGAACGGGUGCGUAACACGUGAGCAACCUGCCCCAAAGACCGGGACAACCCGAGGAAACUCGGACUAAUACCGGAUGCCCUCACCGGGUCGCAUGGUCUGGUGAGGAAAUGGAUUCCGCUUUGGGAUUGGCUCGCGGUCUAUCAGCUUGUUGGUGGGGUAACGGCCUACCAAGGCGACGACGGAUAGCUGGUCUGAGAGGACGAUCAGCCACACUGGGACUGAGACACGGCCCAGACUCCUACGGGAGGCAGCAGUGGGGAAUCUUGCGCAAUGGGGGAAACCCUGACGCAGCGACGCCGCGUGCGGGAUGAAGGCC